GCCGGGCGCAGUGGCGCCUGCCUGUAGUCCCAGCUACUCGGGAGGCUGAGGUGGGAGGAUCACUUGAGUCCAGGAGUUCUGGGCUGUAGUGCGCUAUGCCGAUCAGGUGUCCGAACUAAGUUCAGCAUCAAUAUGGUGAACUCUCGGGAGCGGGGGACCACCAGGUUACCUAAGGAGGGUGAACUGGCCCAGGUUGGAAACAGAGCGGGUCAAAACUCCCAUGCUGAUCAGUAGUGGGAUCAUGCCUGUGAAUAGCCACUGCACUCCAGCCGGGGCAACAUAGCGAGACCCUGUCUCU
rnacentral:SRP_RNA from 1 species